rnacentral:rRNA from 1 species
GCAAAGCGAGCUGUUGGUGAAGCAAGGGGUUGGGCAUAUGAGGACCUCUACCAAUGGUUAGGCACGAAGGAAGGUGAAAGGGACAUCUAUAAGAUGGCUAAGAUCCGGGAGAGGAAGAUGAGGGAUAUUGGCCAAGUCAAAUGCAUCAAGGACGGAGCAGGCCAACUCUUGGUGAAGGACGAAGAGAUUAAGCAUAGAUGGCGGGAGUACUUCGACAAGCUGUUUAAUGGGGAGAAUGAGAGUUCUACCAUUGAACUGAAUGACUCCUUUGAUGAGACCAGCAUGCGUUUUGUGCGGCGCAUCCAGGAGUCUGAGGUGAAGGAGGCAUUAAAAAGGAUGAAAGGAGGCAAGGCGAUGGGCCCUGAUUGUAUCCCCAUUGAGGUGUGGAAAGGUCUCGGGGACAUAUCGAUAGUAUGGCUAACCAAGCUUUUCAACCUCAUUUUUCGGGCAAACAAGAUGCCAGAAGAAUGGAGACGGAGUAUAUUAGUACCAAUCUUCAAGAACAAGGGGGAUGUUCAGAGUUGUACUAAUUACCAUGGAAUUAAGUUGAUGAGCCAUACAAUGAAGCUAUGGGAGAGAGUCAUUGAGCACCGCUUAAGAAGAAUGACAAGCGUGACCAAAAAUCAGUUUGGUUUCAUGCCUGCGAGGUCGACCAUGGAAGCCAUUUUCUUGGUACGACAACUUAUGGAGAGAUAUAGGGAGCAUAAGAAGGACUUGCAUAUGGUGUUCAUUGACUUGGAGAAGGCCUAUGAUAAGAUACCGCGGAAUGUCAUGUGGUGGGCCUUGGAGAAACACAAAGUCCCAGCAAAGUACAUUACCCUCAUCAAGGACAUGUACAAUAAUGUUGUGACAAGUGUUUGA